rnacentral:rRNA from 1 species
GACGAACGCUGGCGGCGUGCUUAACACAUGCAAGUCGAACGGAAAGGCCCUGCUUUUGUGGGGUGCUCGAGUGGCGAACGGGUGAGUAACACGUGAGUAACCUGCCCUUGACUUUGGGAUAACUUCAGGAAACUGGGGCUAAUACGGGAUAGGAGCUCCUGCUGCAUGGUGGGGGUUGGAAAGUUUCGGCGGUUGGGGAUGGACUCGCGGCUUAUCAGCUUGUUGGUGGGGGAGUGGCUUACCAAGGCUUUGACGGGUAGCCGGCCUGAGAGGGUGACCGGCCACAUUGGGACUGCGAUACGGCCCAGACUCCUACGGGAGGCAGCAGUGGGGAAUAUUGCACAAUGGGCGGAAGCCUGAUGCAGCAACGCCGCGUGCGGGAUGACGGCCUUCGGGUUGUAAACCGCUUUCGCCUGUGACGAAGCGUGAGUGACGGUAAUGGGUAAAGAAGCACCGGCUAACUACGUG